GUAGCGGCGAGCGAAACGGGAACAGCCCAAACCAACAAGCUUGCUUGUUGGGGUUGUAGGACUCAAAUGUGGUAGCAAGCAAGAUAGCCGAAUGACUUGGAAAAGUCAGCCAAAGUGGGUGAAAGCCCCGUAGGCAAAAUUUUGUGAACACCUAUGAGGAUCCUGAGUACGGCGGAACACGAGAAAUUCCGUCGGAAUCUAGGAGGACCAUCUCCUAAGGCUAAAUACUCCCUAGUGACCGAUAGCGAACCAGUACCGUGAGGGAAAGGUGAAAAGCACCCCGGGAGGGGAGUGAAAUAGAACCUGAAACCGUGUGCCUACAACAAGUUAGAGCCCGUUAAUGGGUGAUAGCGUGCCUUUUGUAGAAUGAACCGGCGAGUUACGAUUGCAUGCGAGGUUAAGUUGAAGAGAUGGAGCCGUAGCGAAAGCGAGUCUGAAUAGGGCGAUAGAGUAUGUAGUCGUAGACCCGAAACCAUGUGAUCUGCCCAUGUCCAGGUUGAAGGUGCGGUAAAACGCACUGGAGGACCGAACCAGGACACGUUGAAAAGUGUUUGGAUGAGGUGUGGGUAGCGGAGAAAUUCCAAACGAACUUGGAGAUAGC
rnacentral:rRNA from 1 species